GAUGAAGAACGCAGCGAAAUGCGAUAAGUAAUGUGAAUUGCAGAAUUCAGUGAAUCAUCGAAUCUUUGAACGCACAUUGCGCCCCCUGGUAUUCCGGGGGGCAUGCCUGUCCGAGCGUCAUUACAACCCUCAAGCUCAGCUUGGUGUUGGGCCCCGCCGCCCCGGCGGGCCCUAAAGUCAGUGGCGGUGCCGUCCGGCUCCGAGCGUAGUAAUUCUUCUCGCUCUGGAGGUCCGGUCGUGUGCUCGCCAGCAACCCCCAUUUUUUUCAGGUUGACCUCGGAUCAGGUAGGGAUACCCGCUGAACUUAAGCAUAUCAAUAAGCGGAGGA
rnacentral:misc_RNA from 1 species